rnacentral:rRNA from 1 species
GAUGAACGCUGGCGGCGUGCCUAAUACAUGCAAGUCGAGCGAACAGACGAGGAGCUUGCUCCUCUGACGUUAGCGGCGGACGGGUGAGUAACACGUGGAUAACCUACCUAUAAGACUGGGAUAACUUCGGGAAACCGGAGCUAAUACCGGAUAAUAUAUUGUACCGCAUGGUUCAAUAGUGAAAGACGGUUUUGCUGUCACUUAUAGAUGGAUCCGCGCCGCAUUAGCUAGUUGGUAAGGUAACGGCUUACCAAGGCAACGAUGCGUAGCCGACCUGAGAGGAUGAUCGGCCACACUGGAACUGAGACACGGUCCAGACUCCUACGGGAGGCAGCAGUAGGGAAUCUUCCGCAAUGGGCGAAAGCCUGACGGAGCAACGCCGCGUGAGUGAUGAAGGUCUUCGGAUCGUAAAACUCUGUUAUUAGGGAAGAACAAAUGUGUAAGUAACUAUGCACGUCUUGACGGUACCUAAUCAGAAAGCCACGGCUAACUACGUG